CCUACGGGUGGCAGCAGUAGGGAAUCUUUCACAAUGGGCGAAAGCCUGAUGGAGCAACGCCGCGUGCAGGAUGAAGGCCUUCGGGUUGUAAACUGCUUUUAUAAGCGAGAAAUAUGAUGGUAACUUAUGAAUAAGGAACGGCUUACUACGUGCCAGCAGCCGCGGUCAUACGUAGGAUCCGAGCAUUAUCCGGAGUGACUGGGUGUAAAGAGUUGCGUAGGUGGGAUAAUAAGUGUCUAGUGAAAUCUGGUGGCUCAACCAUUCAGACUAUUAGCUAAACUGUUAAGCUCGAGAGCGUUAGGGGUAACUGGAAUGUCUGGUGUAGGGGUGAAAUGCGUAGAUAUUAGAAAGAACACCGAUAGCGUAGGCAGGUUACUGGGACGGUACUGACGCUGAGGCACGAAAGCGUAGGGAGCAAACGGGAUUAGAUACCCGGGUAGUC
rnacentral:rRNA from 1 species